AAGACAUGCCGAAUGGAAGUUCGCACAGCUGAGUCUUUCUAGGAGGCAAGUUCUUCGGUGUAGUCCCUAAGUUGUAUGUGUAAAUUCGCUAAAAUACCAGUCUCAUGCGCGAGCCAUUGGUGACGCACGCUGGAGGUUUGGAGAAUCACCACCUUUCAGUCAAGAACGCACAUGCUGCAAUUGGCAGAGGUCUCUCUGCACAGCGUGUGCGUCAACUUGAACUGGAAGGGGCUCCAAGUGUGCAGCCUGGAACGGCAAGCUGGGUGGAAUGCAGUGCAGUCCCCACACAACGAUUUCCAAGAAGCCCCACUUGUGUGAUUAAGAUGCAAGGUCGAUACAACUGAACAGGUUUAUAGUGAUGGGGCUUUUGGUUGAAGAGUGUCUUGUCGCUAGAUUCACAUAUUUGUGAAUGUUUAUGAUCACGAAAGCCACUGUGUGUAGUAGGGGUGACCAUUUGUCCGUUAUAUUGUCACUUCGUAUCUUUUUGGGUGCUUGUCUGAAUUCGCUAUUACACAUUAGGUGACCAUCAACCUUAUACAGACCAAUUUUUGUACGUUUUGCUUUCGAAGGUGUGGAUUUCUUCGGAUUUGAGGUUUGAUUUAAUCCCAUUUGGCCGUCCAUGUUAGCCACUUUUAUAUCCCGCAGACUCCUCGAAUCCAUUUUAUUUCAUGGUAGACUUUCGAAGUUCUUCAAACAUGAAGAAAUCUCCAAACGAAUCGCAACUAAUUAGUUUGUUAUCUACGUCUUGUGAACAGGACGUGUUUGUGAGGUCGCACUUCUGGAUCACCAGGGUGACGCGACCGUGAAGCAACACAGGAUUUAUUUUGAGAGUGAUUGUAAUCCUUUACUCAUCGCACUAUCAGGAGCAGCUUCGUAACCAAUACACCAAGAGUUCGAUCACGGAUCUCGUGCCUCGAUAUCAAAUAUUGUAGACUUAAAAUGACAGGCUGAUUAGUAAUGUGGAUCCUCAGUCAAUCUGAUACUCGAACACUUGAAAAAACUCAACCUUACUGUGAAAGAAGGAUUAAUUGCUUGUAAAGGCUUUUGGUGAGAUGAUUAUAA